rfam:Ovis aries breed Texel chromosome 2, whole genome shotgun sequence.
UCCCUCCUAGCUCAACCAGUAAAGAAUCUGCCUGCAAUGCAGGAGACCCAGGUUUCAUUCCUGGGUGGGGAA